AUGGGUUUCCGGCCCCUGGGCUGGGUCGUGCUUUGUCUCCUGAGAGCAGUCCCCGUGGUAGCCAGGGUGACCCAAACCCCAAGACACCUCAUCACAGGGACUGGAAAGCGGUUGACAGUGCGUUGUUCUCAGGACAUGAACCAUGAUGCUUUGUACUGGUAUCGACAAGACCCAGGGGUGGGUCUGAAGCUGAUCUAUUAUUCGAGGAAUGUUGACUUUAUUGAAAAGGGAGACGUCCCCGACGGGUACGCUGUCUCCCGGAAGGAGGAGAGGAAUUUCCCCCUGACCCUGGAGUCCACCAGCACCAGUCAGAUGCCUCUGUAUCUCUGUGCCAGCAGUUGCUAUGGCGAGACCCUCUAUUUUGGGGAAGGGAGCCGGCUCACUGUUGUAGAGGAUCUGAAAAAGGUGAGCCCUCCCAAGGUCACAGUGUUCGAACCAUCAGAAGCAGAGAUCUCCCGGACCCUGAAGGCCACGCUCGUGUGCCUGGCCACAGGCUUCUACCCCGACCACGUGGAGCUGAGCUGGUGGGUGAACGGGAAGGAGGUGCGUGACGGGGUCAGCACGGACCCUGAGCCCUACAAGGAACAGUCCGGCGCGAAUGUGUCCAGCUACUGUCUGAGCAGCCGGCUGAGGGUCUCCGCCACCUUCUGGCACAACCCUCGGAACCACUUCCGCUGCCAGGUCCAGUUCCACGGGCUCGGGAAGGAUGACCAGUGGGACUACCCCGAGGCCAAACCCGUCACCCAGAACGUCAGUGCCGACACCUGGGGCAGAGCAGACUGUGGCUUCACUUCGGCGUCCUACCAGCAGGGGGUCCUGUCGGCCACCAUCCUCUAUGAGAUCCUGCUGGGGAAGGCCACCCUAUAUGCCAUCCUGGUCAUUGUCCUCGCGCUGAUGGCCAAGAUCAAGAGAAAGGAUUCCUGAAGCCAGCUCGGAGGAAGAGUCCUGAGCUUCCAGUCUGCCAUUGCCCCAAUAUGGAUCCUCCUUUUCCCACUUAUAGCCAGUGCUUCUGAAGAGCUGUUUUCAUCCCUCUGCUCACCCCAGUAGCUACCCCUUAUGUGCAUGCACACGCGGUCGCUCACGACUCAACUUGCCUUAACCCGGGGGGCCUCGCGUGACAAAAUUGACUGAAUCAAUAAAAAUGGCCUGUUCUGGCUUGACUCUG